CAGCCGCCACGGUAAUACGAAGGGGGCUAGCGUUGCUCGGAAUGACUGGGCGUAAAGGGCGCGUAGGCGGAUUGUUUAGUUAGGCGUGAAAUUCCUGGGCUUAACCUGGGGACUGCGCUUAAUACAGGCAGUCUAGAGUGAGGAAGAGGGUUGUGGAAUUCCCAGUGUAGAGGUGAAAUUCGUAGAUAUUGGGAAGAACGCCGGUGGCGAAGGCGGCAACCUGGUCCUUGACUGACGCUGAGGCGCGAAAGCGUGGGGAGCAAACAGGAUUAGAUACCCCUGUAGUCCCUGUCUCUUAUAC
rnacentral:rRNA from 1 species